rnacentral:rRNA from 1 species
UACGAAGGGGGCUAGCGUUGUUCGGAAUUACUGGGCGUAAAGCGAGUGUAGGCGGUUGCCCAAGUCAUGCGUGAAAUCCCUCGGCUUAACCGGGGAACUGCGUCUGAUACUGGAUGGCUUGAGUUCGGGAGAGGGAUGCGGAAUUCCAGGUGUAGCGGUGAAAUGCGUAGAUAUCUGGAGGAACACCGGUGGCGAAGGCGGCAUCCUGGACCGAUACUGACGCUGAGGAGCGAAAGCUAGGGGAGCAAACGGG